rnacentral:rRNA from 1 species
UUUAUGGAGAGUUUGAUCCUGGCUCAGGAUGAACGCUGGCGGCGUGCCUAAUACAUGCAAGUCGAGCGAACGGACGAGAAGCUUGCUUCUCUGAUGUUAGCGGCGGACGGGUGAGUAACACGUGGAUAACCUACCUAUAAGACUGGGAUAACUUCGGGAAACCGGAGCUAAUACCGGAUAAUAUUUUGAACCGCAUGGUUCAAAAGUGAAAGACGGUCUUGCUGUCACUUAUAGAUGGAUCCGCGCUGCAUUAGCUAGUUGGUAAGGUAACGGCUUACCAAGGCAACGAUGCAUAGCCGACCUGAGAGGGUGAUCGGCCACACUGGAACUGAGACACGGUCCAGACUCCUACGGGAGGCAGCAGUAGGGAAUCUUCCGCAAUGGGCGAAAGCCUGACGGAGCAACGCCGCGUGAGUGAUGAAGGUCUUCGGAUCGUAAAACUCUGUUAUUAGGGAAGAACAUAUGUGUAAGUAACUGUGCACAUCUUGACGGUACCUAAUCAGAAAGCCACGGCUAACUACGUGCCAGCAGCCGCGGUAAUACGUAGGUGGCAAGCGUUAUCCGGAAUUAUUGGGCGUAAAGCGCGCGUAGGCGGUUUUUUAAGUCUGAUGUGAAAGCCCACGGCUCAACCGUGGAGGGUCAUUGGAAACUGGAAAACUUGAGUGCAGAAGAGGAAAGUGGAAUUCCAUGUGUAGCGGUGAAAUGCGCAGAGAUAUGGAGGAACACCAGUGGCGAAGGCGACUUUCUGGUCUGUAACUGACGCUGAUGUGCGAAAGCGUGGGGAUCAAACAGGAUUAGAUACCCUGGUAGUCCACGCCGUAAACGAUGAGUGCUAAGUGUUAGGGGUUUCCGCCCCUUAGUGCUGCAGCUAACGCAUUAAGCACUCCGCCUGGGGAGUACGACCGCAAGGUUGAAACUCAAAGGAAUUGACGGGGACCCGCACAAGCGGUGGAGCAUGUGGUUUAAUUCGAAGCAACGCGAAGAACCUUACCAAAUCUUGACAUCCUUUGACAACUCUAGAGAUAGAGCCUUCCCCUUCUUCGGGACAAAGUGACAGGUGGUGCAUGGUUGUCGUCAGCUCGUGUCGUGAGAUGUUGGGUUAAGUCCCGCAACGAGCGCAACCCUUAAGCUUAGUUGCCAUCAUUAAGUUGGGCACUCUAAGAUGACUGCCGGUGACAAACCGGAGGAAGGUGGGGAUGACGUCAAAUCAUCAUGCCCCUUAUGAUUUGGGCUACACACGUGCUACAAUGGACAAUACAAAGGGCAGCGAAACCGCGAGGUCAAGCAAAUCCCAUAAAGUUGUUCUCAGUUCGGAUUGUAGUCUGCAACUCGACUACAUGAAGCUGGAAUCGCUAGUAAUCGUAGAUCAGCAUGCUACGGUGAAUACGUUCCCGGGUCUUGUACACACCGCCCGUCACACCACGAGAGUUUGUAACACCCGAAGCCGGUGGAGUAACCUUUUAGGAGCUAGCCGUCGAAGGUGGGACAAAUGAUUGGGGUGAAGUCGUAACAAGGUAGCCGUAUCGGAAGGUGCGGCUGGAUCACCUCCUUUCU